UGCGCAGGCGGAUUAAUAAGUCGGGGGUUAAAUCCAUGUGCUUAACACAUGCACGGCUUCCGAUACUGUUGAUCUAGAGUCUCGAAGAGGAAGGUGGAAUUUCCGGUGUAACGGUGGAAUGUGUAGAUAUCGGAAAGAACACCAGUGGCGAAGGCAGCCUUCUGGUCGAGUACUGACGCUCAUGCACGAAAGAGUGGGGAGCAAACA
rnacentral:rRNA from 1 species